rnacentral:rRNA from 1 species
UACAGAGGUCCCGAGCGUUGUUCGGAUUCACUGGGCGUAACGGGUGCGUAGGCGGUCGGGUAAGUCUGAUGUGAAAGCUCUGGGCUUAACCCAGAAAUGGCAUUGGAUACUAUUCGGCUCGAGGUCUGGAGGGGGGACUGGAAUACUUGGUGUAGCAGUGAAAUGCGUAGAUAUCAAGUGGAACACCAGUGGCGAAGGCGAGUCCCUGGACAGAUCCUGACGCUGAGGCACGAAAGCUAGGGGAGCAAACAGG